CCUACGGGAGGCAGCAGUAAGGAAUAUUGGUCAAUGGACGAAAGUCUGAACCAGCCAUGCCGCGUGAAGGAUGAAGGCCCUCUGGGUUGUAAACUUCUUUUAUAGGGGACGAAAAAAGGGCAUUCUUGCUCACUUGACGGUACCCUAGGAAUAAGCACCGGCUAACUCCGUGCCAGCAGCCGCGGUAAUACGGAGGGUGCAAGCGUUAUCCGGAUUUACUGGGUUUAAAGGGUGCGUAGGUGGGUUGGUAAGUCAGCGGUGAAAUCUUCGAGCUUAACUCGGAAACUGCCAUUGAUACUAUCAAUCUUGAAUCAUCUAGAGGUAAGCGGAAUAUGUCAUGUAGCGGUGAAAUGCUUAGAUAUGACAUAGAACACCAAUUGCGAAGGCAGCUUACUAUGGAUGUAUUGACACUGAGGCACGAAAGCGUGGGGAUCGAAACAGGAUUAGAUACCCUGGUAGUCCACGCCCUAAACUAUGGAUACUCGACAUUUGCGAUAUAUGUAGUAGUNUGAGAGAAGAGAUAAGUUAUACCACCGUCGGGAAGGUAACGGUAGUCGCGAAGUAGUUAGUUAAACGUUAAAGGUUAAAGUUAGUUACGGCGUUGAGACGNGCGACGGACGACGACGAGGGAGGAGG
rnacentral:rRNA from 1 species